GAAUUCGCCCUUAGAGUUUGAUCCUGGCUCAGGACGAACGCUGGCGGCAUGCCUAACACAUGCAAGUCGAACGGAGUURUUAUUCAGAAGUUCUUCGGGAUGGAAGGAUAAGAACUUAGUGGCGGACGGGUGAGUAACGCGUGGGUAACCUGCCCUUUUGUGGGGAACAACUUCGAGAAAUCGGAGCUAAUACCGCAUAAUAAUAGAGGAUCGCAUGAUUCUUUAAGGAAAGAUGGCCUCUGAAGAUGCUAUCGCAAAAGGAUGGACCCGCGUCUGAUUAGCUAGUUGGAAGGGUAACGGCCUACCAAGGCAACGAUCAGUAGCCGGCCUGAGAGGGUGAACGGCCACAUUGGGACUGAGACACGGCCCAAACUCCUACGGGAGGCAGCAGUGGGGAAUCUUCCGCAAUGGGCGAAAGCCUGACGGAGCAAUGCCGCGUGAGUGAAGAAGGCCUUCGGGUUGUAAAACUCUGUCCUUAUCGAAGAGAGGUAGGUAUGUGAAUAAUGUACCUAUAGGACGGUAGAUAAGGAGGAAGCCCCGGCUAACUACGUGCCAGCAGCCGCGGUAAUACGUAGGGGGCGAGCGUUGUCCGGAAUCACUGGGCGUAAAGGGCGCGUAGGCGGUUUAAUAAGUCAGUGGUGAAAACUGAGGGCUCAACCCUCAGCCUGCCACUGAUACUGUUAGACUUGAGUAUGGAAGAGGAGAAUGGAAUUCCUAGUGUAGCGGUGAAAUGCGUAGAUAUUAGGAGGAACACCAGUGGCGAAGGCGAUUCUCUGGGCCAAGACUGACGCUGAGGCGCGAAAGCGUGGGGAGCAAACAGGAUUAGAUACCCUGGUAGUCCACGCCGUAAACGAUGGAUACUAGGUGUUAGUAGUUUCGAUGCUACUAGUGCCGGAGUAAACACAAUAAGUAUCCCGCCUGGGGAGUACGGUCGCAAGACUGAAACUCAAAGGAAUUGACGGGGGCCCGCACAAGCGGUGGAGCAUGUGGUUUAAUUCGACGCAACGCGAAGAACCUUACCAAGACUUGACAUCCUCCUGACAAGAUAUGUAAUGUAUCUCUUUUCUUCGGAGACAGGAGAGACAGGUGGUGCAUGGUUGUCGUCAGCUCGUGUCGUGAGAUGUUGGGUUAAGUCCCGCAACGAGCGCAACCCUUAUUUCUAGUUGCCAGCAGUAAGAUGGGGACUCUAGAGAGACUGCCAGUGACAAACUGGAGGAAGGUGGGGAUGACGUCAAAUCAUCAUGCCCCUUAUGUCUUGGGCUACACACGUGCUACAAUGGUCAGAACAGAGGGAAGCGAAGCCGCGAGGUGGAGCAAAUCCCAGAAAACUGAUCUCAGUUCGGAUUGCAGGCUGCAACCCGCCUGCAUGAAGUCGGAAUCGCUAGUAAUCGCGGGUCAGCAUACCGCGGUGAAUACGUUCCCGGGCCUUGUACACACCGCCCGUCACACCACGAAAGUUAGUAACACCCGAAGCCGGUGGCCUAACCCGCAAGGGAGGGAGCUGUCGAAGGUGGGACUGAUGAUUGGGGUGAAGUCGUAACAAGGUARCCGUAAAGGGCGAAUUC
rnacentral:rRNA from 1 species